rnacentral:rRNA from 1 species
UACGAAGGGGGCUAGCGUUGUUCGGAAUUACUGGGCGUAAAGCGCACGUAGGCGGACAUUUAAGUCAGGGGUGAAAUCCCGGGGCUCAACCCCGGAACUGCCUUUGAUACUGCAAAUCUCGAGUCCGGAAGAGGUGAGUGGAACUGCGAGUGUAGAGGUGAAAUUCGUAGAUAUUCGCAAGAACACCAGUGGCGAAGGCGGCUCACUGGUCCGGUUCUGACGCUGAGGCGCGAAAGCGUGGGGAGCAAACAGG